UGCCAGCAGCCGCGGUAACACGAACCGGACGAACGUUAUUCGGAAUUACUGGGCGUAAAGCGCGCGUAGGCGGACUAACAAGUUGGAUGUGAAAUCCCAGGGCUCAACCUUGGAACUGCAUUUAAAACUGCAAAACUUGAGAUCGGAAGAGGAAAGCGGAAUUUCUAGUGUAGAGGUGAAAUUCGUAGAUAUUAGAAGGAACAUCAGAGGCGAAGGCGGCUUUCUGGUCCGAUACUGACGCUGAGGUACGAAAGCGUGGGGAGCAAACGGGAUUAGAUA
rnacentral:rRNA from 1 species